rnacentral:sRNA from 1 species
AUCAUAAUUUUUUAACAUCAUUAUAUAAUAUAUAGAGUUUAAAAAAAUCUUAAUCUUUCCGUCAUAUUUUGUGACUCGAAAUUUUAAAAAUGAACAUAUAUUAACCAAUUGGCGAAAAAUGUGUGAGUGUCCACAUUAACUAAAAUAUUUAGAGCAUGAUUCAUAAACAUAUCAUAAAUAAGAUUAACAUUAAUAAAAUAAUGGUUUUUUUACGAGACGGGUUUGGCGGGAUGGGUUUGGCAGGACGUUACUUAAUAACAAUUAUAAACUAUAUAAUA